CCUACGGGGUGCAGCAGUGGGGAAUUUUGGACAAUGGGCGCAAGCCUGAUCCAGCUAUUCCGCGUGUGGGAAGACGGCCUUCGGGUUGUAAACCACUUUUGUAGAGAACGAAAAGUCUGUUGAUAAUACCGAUAGAUGAUGACGGUACUCUAAGAAUAAGCACCGGCUAACUACGUGCCAGCAGCCGCGGUAAUACGUAGGGUGCGAGCGUUAAUCGGAAUUACUGGGCGUAAAGGGUGUGCAGGCGGUUUUGCAAGAUGGAUGUGAAAGCCCCGGGCUUAACCUGGGAAAGCCAUACAUGACUGCAAGACUAGAGUGCGUCAGAGGGGGGUGGAAUUCCAAGGGUAGCAGUGAAAUGCGUAGAUAUUUGGAAGAACACCGAUGGCGAAGGCAGCCCCCUGGGACGCAACUGACGCUCAUACACGAAAGCGUGGGGAGCAAACAGGAUUAGAUACCCCUGUAGUC
rnacentral:rRNA from 1 species